rnacentral:lncRNA from 1 species
AUGAGACAGGAAAAGUAAUGAGAUAGAUAUCUUUCUGUAACCUCACCGAGAGAUUAGAGAUAGAUGUUAAUCAAGACUAGAAGGUGAGCUUUUAAGGAAGAAGUGCGUCACCUUGGAGUACAAGAUCCUUAAGGAUGAUGAAGGGAUGAUGAUAAUGGAGUAAGAGAGAGAAAGAGAUGAGAGGAAAUGUUAUUUUGGAUUGAUACCUUCUUAAGAAAAUGACAAAGAGUACUUAAAGGGAAAUGCUGGCAAGGUCUAACACGUGACCAGUAAACCGGUAUGCAAACCGGGAAUCUUAUGAAAAUAGUAAAAGAGCCGUUAAGAGAUAAGAUCAGAGGAAUAUGCUGUCACAAUACCUCCUGCUUGAAAUCAUCCUUGUCCUCAAGGAUGGAAUUGAGGAUGCUUGGCGAUGAAGUCUUUGUAGAAUUCCCAAGUGGCCUGUUCAGGAGUCUCACCCUUCCAUUGGACUAGGACCUUAGUGACAGCAGCAUUACGACGCUUAGCCAUCUUAGUUUCCAAAAUCUGCUCCGGUUCCUUAGAAGUGCCAAGAUCAACAUAGAAUUGAGGAAGACCUGAUGAAGCAGCUUGAGGGUUUGGGCACAGCUUCAGCUGGCUCACAUGGAAUACGUUGUGAAUGGCUGCGCCCGCGGGUAAAUCCAGUCGAUAAGCAGCAGACCCGACAGUGUCUAGAACACGGAAAGGACCAUAGUAGCGAGGAGAUAGUUUGUGUGGUACCUUCCUGUUCUUAAGUGAGUUCUGCCUGUAGGGUUGAAGCUUCAGGUAAACAUAGCUACCCACUGUGAAGGACCGUGGAGAGCGAUGAGAAUCAGCAGCUUGCUUGUUUCUGUUCUGAGCGCGCAGCAAGUGAAACUUCAACAUAGAGAUGACCUCUUCGCGUUUUUGUAGGCUCCGAUCAACCAAAGCAGAUUUGCUUUCACCUGGAAGGUAUGGAAGAUGAGUAGGAGGAGGUUGACCGUAGACUAUUCCGAAUGGUGUGCUCCUGAUGGCAGAGUGGUAUGUUGUGUUGUACCACCAUUCAGCAAGAGGGAGCCAUUUGCUCCAUGUUUGCGGAGUCUCAGCGGUCAUACAUCUUAGGUAAGUCUCCAAGGUCUUAUUAGUUACCUCUGUCUGCCCGUCAGUUUGAGGAUGGUAGGCAGUAGAGUAACUUAGAUCAACCCCAUGGACCCGGAAGAGCUCUUUCCAAACGUCACUGAGGAAUGUAGGAUCGCGAUCGCUGAUUAUGUCUUUAGGGAGGCCGUGAAGCUUGAACACAUUGUCUAGAUAGGCUUGUGCAACUUCAAUAGCAGUGUAGGGGUGGGAGAGUGCUAGGAAGUGAGCCUGUUUGCUCAACCUAUCAAUAACCACCAAUAUACAGUGUUUGCCAGCAGACUGUGGGAGACCUUCAAUGAAGUCUAAGCUGACUGACUCCCAGACACCGUUAGGGAUUGGUAAUGGAUUCAGUAGACCCGGCUUGGCCACAUUCUCAUACUUGUUCUUCUGACAGACAUCGCAAUUGCGCACAUAGUUCUGCACCUCGAGGCUCAUUUUUGACCAAAAGAAGAGUGAUUUGAUCCUGUGGAGGGUUGCAUCUCUGCCUGAGUGUCCUCCUAUAGCCGAGUCGUGGAGCCAACGGAAGAUGUGUGUUUUUAUGUUCACAUCGUUCCCCACGACGAGUUUUCCCUUGCGUCUUAGUUCCUCGUUGAUGAAGGUGUAAGAAGGGUGGGAUUUAGGGUCAGCUUGCAGCUCAGAUAUGAUCUUGCGUAGCUUAGGAUCACUCUGCCAGAGCAAACGCAGAGAGUCGUAGAAGCCUUGGUGCGCUUGAGACAACGUCAUGUGUAGCAGUUGCGAACCAGAAACCCUUGAGAGAGCAUCUGCAGCCACGUUUUCUUUUCCCAACUUGUAUUGGAUCUCAAAGUCGUACCCCAUCAGCUUAGAGAGCCACAUGUGUUGAAAUGGUGUUGUUGCUUUUUGCUCGACCAUAUACUUGAGGCUCUUUUGAUCCGUUUUGAUGAUAAAACGUCGAUGAGCAAGGUAAGCGCUCCAAGCUUGGACUGCGUGGACAACAGCCAUUAAUUCUUUCUCGUAGACAGAGAGGGCUUGGUUUCUUGGACCCAGAGCUCUGCUGAUGAAGCAUAUGGGGUGGUUGUCCUGCAUAAGGACUGCUCCAAUUCCAGUGUUGCUAGCAUCAGUUUCAACCACAAACGUCUUGUCGAAGUCUGGUAGUGCUAGGACCGGAGAUGAGGAAAGCGCAGACUUGAGGUUAUCCAGAGCUGUAUCAGCUUCGGAGUUCCAUAGGAAACCAUCUUUCUGCAGCAGAGUAGUGAGAGGACGAGACAAAACGCUAUACCCUCGUAUGAAGCGUCUGUAGUAGUUAGCAAGGCCGAGGAAACUGCGCAGUUGCUUAACAGAGGUAGGAGUAGGCCAUUGCUUGAUAGCGGCGAUCUUGGAGGGGUCUGUUCUUACUCCUUCAGCUGAAAUAAAGUGACCGAGAUACUCAAUUUCAGUCGCUCCAAAGGUGCACUUAGAAGCUUUGAGGUAGAGCUGUUGAUGUCGCAAGAUGGAGAACACUUCCUGUAGGUGUUGGAGGUGCGACUCCCAGUCAGGGCUGUAGACCAAAAUGUCAUCGAAGAAGACCAAAAGGAACUUCCCAGAUAUGUCUUGGAAAACAUGGUUCAUCAGAAUCUGGAAUGUGCAUGGAGCAUUAGAGAGGCCGAAAGGCAUUACCAAAUACUCGUAGUGGCCUGCGUGAGAUUUGAAGGCAGUCUUGUACACAUCACUUGGCGACAUCCGUAGUUGAUGGAAGCCUGCGCGAAGAUCCAGUUUGGUGAAGUAUUUCGCUCCACCUAACUCAUCCAGGAGAUCUUCAAGCAGAGGUAUUGGGUAUUUAUCUUUAACAGUUUGGUUGUUGAGGCCUCUGUAGUCCACACAUAGUCUCCAUGAUCCAUCUUUCUUUUUGACUAGGACAAUGGGAGAGGCGUACGGGCUAGAGCUGCACUGUAUUAUACCCUGUUGUAGCAUCUCCUUCAGCAUUUCAUCAAUGGCAUCUUUUUGCAGAGAAGAGUAUCUGUAGGGUCGUAGGUUAACAAGGUUCGAACCGGACUGCAGGGGUAUCUGAUGAUCAAAGCCCUCGCGAAAUGGUGGAAGCGCAGUUGGCUCGGAGAACACAUCGGAGAAGGAUUCCAGUAGUUGUGUCAGAGCUGGAUCCUUGGAGAAUUCACUCUGUGGCGCUGAGAUAUGGCAGUAGAGAGACUCUGGUGAGAGCGGAGAUGACUCUGCUGCUCGCUCCCGCACUUGUAGCAAAGCUAUCUGUGGUUGUUGGAGCAUAAGCUUAUUCAAGCUGGCUCCUUUGAUCAGUUUGCAACCCGUUUUUGUAACGCCCCGCAAGUGAUGUUGCAGACCGUUGAAAGUGAACUCCAUACUGAGGUUCAGGAAGUCCCAGAGGAUAGGCCCAAGAGUGGAUAACCACUGGACUCCAAGUACAAGCUCACAGCAGUCCAAAGGCAGUGUGCGAAUCUCCGAGGUAAAGGUGUAGUUUUGAACCGUCCAAGUGAAGUUGCUGCAUUUAAAAUUUGUCACCAAGUUGUUCCCAUUUGCAGCAGCCACAGACAUUGGAUUUACUGCUUCUAAGCGACAACCCAGCUCGUUGGCAACCUUGAUGUCGAGAAAGUUGUGUGUACUGCCUGGGUCAAUCAAGAUAAAGAGCUUCCUUUUUCCAUACUGGCCAACCACUCUCAUGCAGUUGAACGUCGUCGAGCCACUGAGAGCGUUCACUGAAAUGGUAGGGGUUGGUUCGGAUGUAUUCUCCUCGAGGGUUUGGUCUGGGAAGAUCUCAGCAUCAUCUACGUCGACACUCUCAGCGUCAUCAUCGUCACCGUCCAUAACGAAAAUCUGAGAGCGUUUGUGCUUGAGUUGGUGCCCUGGUGUGAAUGCCUCGUCACAGAACAUACACAAUCCUUUGGCACGACGCUCCUGCAUCUCUUGGUAACUGUAUUUUCGGGUGGGUUUGUCGUUGGUGUUUUUGGGGAUAAAGGUGGGUUUGUUUGGUGGUGUGGGUAGUAUGGGUGUUGUAUUCUGAGGUUUAAAGGGUGGGUUUUUGUUUGUUGAGGGAUUGAAGGGAGCUCGCUGGUAACGGUUGGGUGUGUGGGCAAGGGCGGUUUCGUGGAGGCAAGCUAUUUGUGCUGCUGCAGACACUGUGGUUACUCCGAACUGACGCACAUGGAGGGAAAGAUGUGGGUUCAUGUUCGUCAGGAAUAUACUGAGAGCGUGAGCCUCAGGGAGAGUGAGUCGAGUUCUAGCGUUCUCGAACUUGUCCAGAUAGGUGAUGAUAGAGUCAGAGCCUUGAUGAAGAGCCACCAGAUCUGCAAGUGGGUCGUCAAAAAGGGCGUUGAAGCGACUCGAUAAAGCUAUCACGUAGUCGGUCCAAGAGGGAAAAACCCCAAAGCGCUCCGCCAUGAAGUUGCGGUGCCAUUGGAGAGAUUUUCCGCGGAGGUGCAUCGCAGCAAGUCGGACCUUGAGCUCCGGCGUGGUGCCGUCUAGGUCGAAGAACUGCUCGCAGAUACAGAUCCAAUCGCGGAGGUCUGUACCGUCAAAGGUGGGAAAACCCACUUUUGUUAAUCGUCCAGCGAGACCGUUGGUAACUGGGGAAGGAGGAGGGUCUCUGGUCGGCUGUUGCGGAAAACGGAAUAGAUCCGGUGGGUCUGGGGGUCUGUUGGGCUCGGCGGAGGUGUGGUCCAUCAUUUGUGAGCCACCAGCGUCGUCGACGGGUCUUUUACCGGCUGAUUGGAGCUGCAGAAGGUUCUCAAAGACCAGUCGUUCGAGCCUGUUGUAGCAGUCGUCGAGGGAGUCAGACCGUUGACGAAGCUCAGAAGAUUGGCGUUCCUGGUUUGUACGGAUCUCUUCGACCAGCUCCAGGAGCGUCUUUUCUUGGUUUCUCGUUUCCACCAUGAUGAAAUCCCUAGGAUUCGACUGCUCUGAUACCAAAAUGAGACAGGAAAAGUAAUGAGAUAGAUAUCUUUCCGUAACCUCACCGAGAGAUUAGAGAUAGAUGUUAAUCAAGACUAGAAGGUGAGCUUUUAAGGAAGAAGUGCGUCACCUUGGAGUACAAGAUCCUUAAGGAUGAUGAAGGGAUGAUGAUAAUGGAGUAAGAGAGAGAAAGAGAUGAGAGGAAAUGUUAUUUUGGAUUGAUACCUUCUUAAGAAAAUGACAAAGAGUACUUAAAGGGAAAUGCUGGCAAGGUCUAACACGUGACCAGUAAACCGGUAUGCAAACCGGGAAUCUUAUGAAAAUAGUAAAAGAGCCGUUAAGAGAUAAGAUCAGAGGAAUAUGCUGUCACA